UAGAAUUCACCUGCAGCGCUAAGAAGCAAGAAGAGGCUUGAUUGUGGGUGGCUUUGCAGUGGUGCUAAGGGAAAGCAGAAGAAAAGACCCUGCUUUCCUCUCCAUUCAUCUCCAAUGCUACUGAAAAAGGUCUCGGAGGACCGGCCCUGAUGGCUGCUCUGUGGAUGUGAACGGUGGAUGUGGAAGCUGCUGCUUUGCUGCGCAGCAGGAGAGCGGGACAAUAUUGCAGCCUUAUGAUAAUGGGUUCUGCUGUCUGUGUUGAGCUUGAGAUGAUUCAGGAAGGGAGCAUUGGGCCAGCAGGACCUGGAAAAUUCUGCUUUCCCAUCUUCUAUCUGCCGCAGUUCCCACACUGUCUGCCACUGCCGGAUGAAAGCGAGGAUUUUCUGCCAGCAACUACCCUGAAAGCACUGCUGUUUAUUCAGAGCRUCAUAAGGCCUGUGUCCCAAAUUACUUGAUUCAUGUCUAAACAUUGACUGUACCCUAAUUAAUCCGUUUGUGACACAAGUUGAUUUUGCCCAGCAUGCUUUCCUUUGCCAGGGAAGGAUGCACUAACUCUGCUGAUGCCAAAGAGGUAAUGUGUGUUUAACAUGCAUCAGCACUCACUCUCUUUUUGAUAGCUGCCGAUCCUACUGCACUUAAUAACACACUACUAGGUUAAGGUUAUACACAGCUCAGGCAAUGCUAACUAUCAGGGUGUGUGGUUAUACUGUAAUAAUCA